rnacentral:rRNA from 1 species
UACGUAGGGUGCAAGCGUUGUCCGGAAUUAUUGGGCGUAAAGAGCUCGUAGGCGGUCUGUCGCGUCGGAUGUGAAAACUCGGGGCUCAACCCCGAGCCUGCAUUCGAUACGGGCAGACUAGAGUUCGGUAGGGGAGACUGGAAUUCCUGGUGUAGCGGUGAAAUGCGUAGAUAUUGGGAGGAACACCGGUGGCGAAGGCGGCCCUCUGGACCGGUACUGACGCUGAUGCGCGAAAGCGUGGGGAGCAAACGGG